UACGAAGGGGGCUAGCGUUGCUCGGAAUCACUGGGCGUAAAGGGUGCGUAGGCGGGUCUUUAAGUCAGGGGUGAAAUCCUGGAGCUCGAACUCCAGAACUGCCUUUGAUACUGAAGAUCUUGAGUUCGGGAGAGGUGAGUGGAACUGCGAGUGUAGGAGGUGAAAUUCGUAGAUAUUCGCAAAGAACACCAGUGGCGAAGGCGGCUCACUGGCCCGAUACUGACGCUGAGG
rnacentral:rRNA from 1 species